rnacentral:rRNA from 1 species
UACAGAGGUCCCAAGCGUUGUUCGGAUUCACUGGGCGUAAAGGGUGCGCAGGUGGUCGGGUAAGUCUGAUGUGAAAUCCCGCAGCUCAACUGCGGAAUGGCAUUGGAUACUAUUUGGCUAGAGGGUUGGAGGGGGGACUGGAAUUCUCGGUGUAGCAGUGAAAUGCGUAGAUAUCGAGAGGGACACCAGUGGCGAAGGCGAGUCCCUGGACAACUCCUGACGCUGAGGCACGAAAGCGUGGGGAGCAAACAGG